GCUACCCGCUGACGAGCGGCGGACGGGUGAGUAACGCGUGGGAAUCUGCCUGGUAGUGGGGGAUAGCCCGGCGAAAGCCGGAUUAAUACCGCAUACGCCCUUCGGGGGAAAGUGGGGGACCUUCGGGCCUCACGCUAUCAGAUGAGCCCGCGUCGGAUUAGCUAGUUGGUGAGGUAAAGGCUCACCAAGGCGAUGAUCCGUAGCUGGUCUGAGAGGAUGAUCAGCCACACUGGGACUGAGACACGGCCCAGACUCCUACGGGAGGCAGCAGUGGGGAAUAUUGGACAAUGGGGGCAACCCUGAUCCAGCCAUGCCGCGUGUGUGAAGAAGGCCUUCGGGUUGUAAAGCACUUUCAGUGGUGAGGAAAGGCAAGCGGUUAAUACCCGUUUGCUGUGACGUUAGCCACAGAAGAAGCACCGGCUAACUCCGUGCCAGCAGCCGCGGUAAUACGGAGGGUGCGAGCGUUAAUCGGAAUUACUGGGCGUAAAGAGCGCGUAGGUGGUUCAGUCAGUCAGAUGUGAAAGCCCCGGGCUUAACCUGGGAACUGCACCUGAUACUGCUGAACUAGAGUACGGUAGAGGGCAGUGGAAUUUCCGGUGUAGCGGUGAAAUGCGUAGAGAUCGGAAGGAACACCAGUGGCGAAGGCGACUGCCUGGACCGAUACUGACACUGAGGUGCGAAAGCGUGGGUAGCAAACAGGAUUAGAUACCCUGGUAGUCCACGCCGUAAACGAUGUCAACUAGCCGUUGGGGGACUUGAUCCUUUAGUGGCGCAGCUAACGCGAUAAGUUGACCGCCUGGG
rnacentral:rRNA from 1 species